rnacentral:rRNA from 1 species
GAUGAACGCUGGCGGCGUGCCUAAUACAUGCGAGUCGAGCGAACAGACGAGGAGCUUGCUCCUUUGACGUUAGCGGCGGACGGGUGAGUAACACGUAGGUAACCUACCUAUAAGACUGGGAUAACUUCGGGAAACCGGAGCUAAUACCGGAUAAUAUUUCGAACCGCAUGGUUCGAUAGUGAAAGAUGGCUUUGCUAUCACUUAUAGAUGGACCUGCGCCGUAUUAGCUAGUUGGUAAGGUAACGGCUUACCAAGGCAACGAUACGUAGCCGACCUGAGAGGGUGAUCGGCCACACUGGAACUGAGACACGGUCCAGACUCCUACGGGAGGCAGCAGUAGGGAAUCUUCCGCAAUGGGCGAAAGCCUGACGGAGCAACGCCGCGUGAGUGAUGAAGGUCUUCGGAUCGUAAAACUCUGUUAUUAGGGAAGAACAAACGUGUAAGUAACUGUGCACGUCCUGACGGUACCUAAUCAGAAAGCCACGGCUAACUACGUG